rnacentral:rRNA from 1 species
CCUACGGGAUGCUGCAGUGAGGAAUAUUGGUCAAUGGCCGGAAGGCUGAACCAGCCAUGCCGCGUGAAGGUCAGUGCCCUAUGGGCGUUAAACUUCUUUUGUGCGGGAGCAAUAAUGGUCACGUGUGGCCAGACGAGAGUACCGUACGAAUAAGCAUCGGCUAACUCCGUGCAAGCAGCCGCGGUAAUACGGGGGAUGCAAGCGUUAUCCGGAUUUAUUGGGUUUAAAGGGUGCGUAGGCUGUGAGGUAAGUCAGCGGUGAAAGGCCCCCGCUCAACGGGGUGAAGUGGCAUUUAUAAUGCCUUGCCGGAAUGCGGAUGCCGUGGGAGGAAUGUGUGGUGUAGCGGGGAAAUGGAUAGGUAUCACACAGAACACCGAGUGCGAAGGCAUCUCACGAAGCCGCGAUUGACGCUGAUGCACGAAAGCGUGGGUAUCAAACAGGAUUAGAUACCCGAGUAGUC